rnacentral:rRNA from 1 species
CCUACGGGGGGCAGCAGUGAGGAAUAUUGGUCAAUGGACGAGAGUCUGAACCAGCCAAGUAGCGUGAAGGAUGACUGCCCUAUGGGUUGUAAACUUCUUUUAUAUGGGAAUAAAAUGUUCCACGUGUGGGAUUUUGUAUGUACCAUAUGAAUAAGGAUCGGCUAACUCCGUGCCAGCAGCCGCGGUACUACGGAGGGUCCGAGCGUUAUCCGGAUUUAUUGGGUUUAAAGGGAGCGUAGGUGGAUUGUUAAGUCAGUUGUGAAAGUUUGCGGCUCAACCGUACAAUUGCAGUUGAAACUGGCUGUCUUGAGUACAGUAGAGAUGGGCGGAAUUCGUGGUGUAGCGGUGAAAUGCUUAGAUAUGACGAGGAACUACGAUUGCGAAGGCAGCUCAUUGGACUGGAACUGACGCUGAGGCUCGAAAGUGUGGGUAGCAAACAGGAUUAGAUACCCGAGUAGUC